rnacentral:snRNA from 1 species
GUUCUCACUUCAGCAGAAAAUAUACUAAAACUGGAACAAUACAGAGAUUAGUAUGGCCUCUGUGCAUGGAUGACAUGCAAAUUCAUGAAGCAUUCCAUAUUUUU